GUUUGAUCCUGGCUCAGAAUCAACGCUGGCGGCGUGCCUCAGACAUGCAAGUCGAACGAUUAAAGCUCUCUUCGGAGAGUGCAUAAAGUGGCGCACGGGUGAGUAACACGUAAGUAAUCUACCCUCGAGUGGGGAAUAACGUCCGGAAACGGACGCUAAUACCGCAUGAUGCAGCGGCACCGCAAGGUGACAGUUGUUAAAGAUUUAUCGCUUGGGGAGGAGCUUGCGGCAGAUUAGCUAGUUGGUAAGGUAAUGGCUUACCAAGGCUACGAUCUGUAACCGGUCUAAGAGGACGGUCGGUCACACUGACACUGAAUAACGGGUCAGACUCCUACGGGAGGCAGCAGUCGGGAAUUUUGGGCAAUGGGCGAAAGCCUGACCCAGCAACGCCGCGUGAAGGAUGAAGUGUUUCGGAAAGUAAACUUCGAAAGAAUAGGAAGAAUAAAUGACGGUACUAUUUAUAAGGUCCGGCUAACUACGUGCCAGCAGCCGCGGUAAUACGUAGGGACCAAGCGUUGUUCGGAUUUACUGGGCGUAAAGGGCGCGUAGGCGGCUUG
rnacentral:rRNA from 1 species